AUUGAGCCAAGAACACGUGGUUUGCAAUGACUUUACAGAGGAGCUCUGUGUCUUUGUCCUCCAUGUUGAUUCACAGUGAUUAUUAAGGGUUCCUAAUAUCUACAGCUAUAUUAUGAAUAGAAGAUUGAUGUACUCGUCUAGAGAGAGAAGGGUGGGAGAGAAUUGGAGGUUUUAGGUUCAGUUCUUGCAGGGAUGAGGAAGACAAGAUCGGAAGAGUGUCGUGU